GACGAACGCUGGCGGCGUGCUUAACACAUGCAAGUCGAGCGGAGCGGCGAACGGGUGAGUAACGCGUGAGUAAUUGCCCCCCUCUCUGGGAUAACAGUUGGAAACGGCUGCUAAUACCGGAUAGUGGGGGAUGAGUCGGGUCCUAUCAGCUUGUUGGUGGGGUAGUGGCCGACUAAGGGGACGCCUGGUAGCAGGCCUGAGCGGGCGACCGGGCACGUUGUGCUUAGGUACGACCCAAACUCCAACGGUAGGCAGCAGUCGGGAAUGUUACAGAAUAGGGCAGACCGUGAUGCAGCAACGCGCGUGCGGGAUGACGGGGUGCGAGUUGUGAACCGCUUUGAUCCAUGACGCGGUAGUUGCCGGGGAAGCACCGGCUAACUACGUGCCAGCAGCCGCGGUAAUUC
rnacentral:rRNA from 1 species